GCACUAGGCUUCUUAUAACCAGGUCUAAAGUAGUGUUGUAGAUGUUAGAUGGUUUCUCCCUGUCAUUACAACAUGACAAUAUGGUCAUGACUUUAGUGGUUUCCUCCCCCUUUGUUUUUAGUGUUAUUUUGUUAUGUGUGUUGUCAGGGUUGUUCCUCUGUGUUCCUCAUUGAAAAUCCAUUAACAAUGAAUCACAAACUAAUUAUAUUCCAGUUGUGUUUAGACAACUUGAUGUCUGACGUCCCCCAGUUCUGUUCAGACCCAUUGAACUGGGUCACAUUCUGAAUGGUGACUUGUAUUGAUAGUCCAUACUGGACCUGACUGUGGUUAACCAGACUGGAGGGGUUCUGAUCACAUAUUCCCUCAUCUACACAACUAUACCUGAUGUUCUCUGUGUGUGUGUGUGUGUCUCUCUCUGUGUGUGUGUGUGUGUGUGUGUGUCUCUGUGUGUGUGUGUGUGUGUCUGUGUGUCUCUGUGUGUGUGUGUGUGUGUCUCUCUCUCUCUCUCUCUCUGUGUAGAAAGCAGACAACCUCAGUAUGGUUUCAUUCCUGUAGUUAUCAGAACACAUGAGGUGUGUAACAAUUAUCUCUCCUUUCUAAGUGUGAACUUGUCCACUUCCCUUCAUGGAUUUAAAGGAAAUGACUGGUUUAUGUAAACUCCCUCUACCCCAUGUCAACACCAAUCCAAUGCUUUUACAUUUGUGAGGAGUAGAGAAGGAAAGCUACAUUUCACAACUCUUAGUACAAACUCCAAACAUGAAGCCCUCUAAGGAGCCCUCAGAGAGGUGGACAUCAGAGAGAUGGAGGCAGGCGGCAGGGAACUGUUGUAUCUAAUGAAGUCCGGUCCAUCGUCGUUGAUCAUGUGGUCAACAGAGGUCUUACCAUGACAGAGGCCGACACAUUAGUUCACCCCAAUCUGAAAAGAUCAACUGGCAAAUUCCAUCAUGAGAACAUUUCACUAAGAAAAGCGAAUAGACAGAAGACCCCAUGGUGGUGGUCGUGUGCUGACUGACCAGCAGGAGAGGACAGUGGAGGAAAUGGUGAGGGACAGGAAUGAUAUACUGACCAGCAGGAGAGGACAGUGGAGGAAAUGGUGAGGGACAGGAAUGAUAUACUGACCAGCAGGAGAGGACAG